rnacentral:tmRNA from 1 species
GGGGGCGACCGGCUUCGACGGGGAUCAUGACGCCAGGGUGGCAUGCCGAGCUCCGGGAACUCGUAAAAGUCCGGAAACAACAACAGCCAACCAAGAACUGGCACUCGCCG